GCCAGUGUGGCUCAGUGGAUAGAGCGUCAGCCUGCGGACUGAAGGGUCCCAGGUUCGAUUCUGGCCAAGGGCA
rnacentral:tRNA from 1 species